ACCUGGCGGCGAGUGGCGAACGGGUGAGUAAUAUAUCGGAACGUACCCUGGAGUGGGGGAUAACGUAGCGAAAGUUACGCUAAUACCGCAUACGAUCUAAGGAUGAAAGUGGGGGAUCGCAAGACCUCAUGCUCCUGGAGCGGCCGAUAUCUGAUUAGCUAGUUGGUAGGGUAAAAGCCUACCAAGGCUUCGAUCAGUAGCUGGUCUGAGAGGACGACCAGCCACACUGGAACUGAGACACGGUCCAGACUCCUACGGGAGGCAGCAGUGGGGAAUUUUGGACAAUGGGCGCAAGCCUGAUCCAGCAAUGCCGCGUGAGUGAAGAAGGCCUUCGGGUUGUAAAGCUCUUUUGUCAGGGAAGAAACGGUGAAGGCUAAUAUCUUUUGCUAAUGACGGUACCUGAAGAAUAAGCACCGGCUAACUACGUGCCAGCAGCCGCGGUAAUACGUAGGGUGCAAGCGUUAAUCGGAAUUACUGGGCGUAAAGCGUGCGCAGGCGGUUUUGUAAGUUUGUCGUGAAAGCCCCGGGCUCAACCUGGGAAUUGCGAUGAAGACUGCAAGGCUUGAAUCUGGCAGAGGGGGGUAGAAUUCCACGUGUAGCAGUGAAAUGCGUAGAGAUGUGGAGGAACACCGAUGGCGAAG
rnacentral:rRNA from 1 species